AAAAUUAGAGUGUUCAAAGCAGGCAGAUCCAAUUUUCUGCCACCGAAUACAUUAGCAUGGGAUAAUGGAAUAGGACCCUGUCCUCCUAUUUUCAGUUGGUUUUGGCAGCGCGAGGACUAGGGUAAUGAUUAAUAGGGAUAGUUGGGGGCAUUAAUAUUUAAUUGUCAGAGGUGAAAUUCUUGGAUUUAUGAAAGAUUAACUUCUGCGAAAGCAUCUGCCAAGGAUGUUUUCAUUAAUCAAGAACGAAAGUUAGGGGAUCGAAGACGAUCAGAUACCGUCGUAGUCUUAACCAUAAACGAUGCCGACCAGCGAUUAGGAGACGUUGAAUACAAAACACCACCAUCGGUUGCGGUCGUCCUUGGCGUCUCGGUUUCGGCCGGGGCGCGGGGACGGUUUAGCCCGGUGGCACCGGUGAA
rnacentral:rRNA from 2 species